rnacentral:rRNA from 1 species
AGCAUAUCAAUAAGCGGAGGAAAAGAAACCAUCAGGGAUUGCCUCAGUAACGGCGAGUGAAGCGCCAACAGCUCAAAUUUGAAAGCUGGGUUCUUUAGGGGCCCGCGUUGUAAUUUGUAGAGGAUGCUUUGGGCGCGGCGACGGUCUAAGUUCUUUGGAACAAGACGUCAUGGAGGGUGAGAAUCCCGUAUGUGACUGGUGGCCUGUGCCCAUGUGAAGCUCCUUUGACGAGUCGAGUUGUUUGGGAAUGCAGCUCAAAAUGGGAGGUGUAUUUCUUCUAAAGAUAAAUAUUGGCCAGAGAUCGAUAGAGCACAAGUAGAGUGAUCGAAAGAUGAAAAGCACUUUGGAAAGAGAGUUAAACAGUACGUGAAAUUGUUGAAAGGGAAGAGCUUGCAAUCAGACUUGUGCGGCGUCGAUCAGCACGGGUUCUCCCGGGUGCACUCGGCGCCGCUCAGGCCAGCAUCAGUUUCGGCGGUGGGAUAAAGGUCCAGGGAACGUGGGUCGCCUCGGCGAGAGUUAUAGACCUGGGCGCAAUGUCGCCUGUCGGGACUGAGGACCGAGCUUCGGCUAGGAUGCUGGCGUAAUGGUUGUAAGAGAGCCGUCUUGAAACACGGAGCAAGGAGUUUAACAUUUGUGUGAGUGUUUGGGUGUCAAAACCAUAUGCGUAAUGAAAGUGAACGGAGGUGAGAAACCUUAAGGGUGCAUCAUCGACCGAUCCUGAUGUAUUAGGAUGGAUUUGAGUAAGAGCAUAA